GUCCAUGCCGUAAACGAUGUCUACUAGCCGUUGGGGCCUUUGAGGCUUUAGUGGCGCAGCUAACGCGAUAAGUAGACCGCCUGGGGAGUACGGUCGCAAGACUAAAACUCAAAUGAAUUGACGGGGGCCCGCACAAGCGGUGGAUGAUGUGGAUUAAUUCGAUGCAACGCGAAGAACCUUACCUGGUCUUGACAUAGUAAGAACUUUCCAGAGAUGGAUUGGUGCCUUCGGGAGCUUACAUACAGGUGCUGCAUGGCUGUCGU
rnacentral:rRNA from 1 species